rnacentral:rRNA from 1 species
UAAUACCGGAUAGAUCAAAGAUACUGGAAUGUUCUCUGGUCCAAAACUCCGGUGCCCAAGGAUGGGUCUGCGGCCUAUCAGGUAGUAGUGGGUGUAACGUACCUACCAGCCUACGACGGGUAAGGGUUGUGAGAGCAAGAUCCCUGAGAUGGAUUCUGAGACAUGAAUCCAGGCCCUACGGGGCGCAGCAGGCGCGAAAUCUUUACAAUGCAGGAAACUGCGAUAAGGGGACCCCGAGUGCCAGCAUCUAAUGCUGGCUGUCCAGCUGUGUAAAUAGCAGUUGUUAGCAAGGGCCGGGCAAGACCGGUGCCAGCCGCCGCGGUAACACCGGCGGCCCGAGUGGUAACCGAUUUUAUUGGGUUUAAAGGGUCCGUAGCCGGCCUGUUAAGUCUCUUGGGAAAUCUGGCGGCUCAAUCGUCAGGCGUCC